UCACACUCAUUCACACCUUCCUUUCACUCGACCAAGGUUGCUUGCACGCCUGCGUGCCGCCGCCCGAGCCGACUUCCCGUUGCUACUAUCGCCUUCACCAAUAUGGCGUCGUCCUGCUGUGUGCUGAUUGUCGUCACGUACCACUCAGUCCAUACCUGAUGUUGUCUGUCACCAAUUGGUUUAAGAGUUUUUAUUUUCUUUUUACACAGAACUAAAUUACUUUAGAAAUGGCAGAAUGCCCCAGCAGCUCUGAGAUUGAGACCAGCUUGAAGCUGUUGCUUCGAAUCAACAAUGAUAACCCAAGCAAAACGCCUGCUGCAAAGGCCCACCAUCAGAUUCACGAUUCUGGACACAGACUGAAUUUCCAGCAUGGAGGAGGGCUGCCCGACAACCUGCCUGUCCCCAACC